AUGAACGCUGGCGGCGUGGAUAAGGCAAGCAAGUCAAGGGGGCUCGCAAGAGCAACCGGCAGACGAGGUAGUAAUACGCAGGUACGCACCGAAGAGUCGGGGAUAGCUAUCCGAAAGGAUAGGUAAUACCCGAUGGUCCCUCCGGGGUAAAGGUUUUUCGCUCUUUGAGCGGCCUGCGCGGUAUCAGCUAGUUGGUACGGUAACGGCGUACCAAGGCAACGACACCUAGGGGAGCUGAGAGGCUGACCCCCACCGAUAGCACUGAGACACGGGCUAUACACCUACGGGUGGCUGCAGUCGAGAAUCUUCCACAAUGGACGAAAGUCUGAUGGAGCGACGCCGCGUGGUUGAUGAAGUCCUUCGGGACGUAAAGACCUUUUAUGGGGGAGGAAGUAAUUGACGUUACCCCAUGAAUAAGGAGCUCCUAACUCUGUGCCAGCAGGAGCGGUAAUACAGAGGCUCCAAGCGUUAUCCGGAAUCACUGGGCGUAAAGGGUGUGUAGGCGGUCGUAUUAGUCUUUUGUAAAAGCUCUCUGGCUUAACCAGGGAAAUGCAAAAGAAACGGUACGACUUAGAGGAUGUGAGAGGUAAAGGGAACUCAUAGUGUAGGGGUGAAAUCCGUUGAUAUUAUGGGGAACACCAAAUGCGAAGGCACUUUACUGGCACAUUCCUGACGCUGAAACACGAAAGCGUGGGUAUCGAACGGGAUUAGAUACCCCGGUAGUCCACGCCCUAAACGAUCCUAACUAGCUUUACGGAGUAUCGACCCUCUGUGAGGCGAAGCUAACGCGUUAAGUUAGGCGCCUGGGUAGUACGAUCGCAAGAUUAAAACUCAAAGGAAUAGACGGGGACUUGCACAAGCGGUGGAUCAUGCGGCUCAAUUCGAUGACAAACGAAGAACCUCACCAGGGUUUGAAACCAAGACGAAAUCUUUAGGAAACUAGAGACCUCGCAAGACGGCUUGGCAGGUGAUGCAUGGUCGUCGUCAGUUCGUGGUUUGAACUGUUCCCUUCAGUGGGGUAACGAACGCAACCCCCGUUGCCUGUUUUAUAUGUCAGGCGAGACUGCUCCCUCACGGGAGAGGAAGGUGGGGAUGACGCCAGAUCAGCAUGUCCCUCUGAUAUCCUGGGCUGCACGCAUGAUACAAUGGUCAAGACAACGCGACGCGACGGGGUAACCCUGAGCUAAUCGUAAUAAACUUGGCCCCAGUUCGGACUGAGGUCUGCAGCUCGACCUCAUGAAGCCGGAAUCGCUAGUAAUCGCGGGUCAGCUAUACCGCGGUGAAUACGUUCUCAAGUCUUGUACUCACCGCCCGUCAACUCAAGGGAGCCGGGAGUACCCGAAGCCCACCUUUUGGUGGUCCACGGUAAGCUCGGUGACAGGGAGU
rnacentral:rRNA from 1 species